rnacentral:rRNA from 1 species
GAUGAACGCUGGCGGCGUGCCUAAUACAUGCAAGUCGAGCGAAUGGAUUAAGAGCUUGCUCUUAUGAAGUUAGCGGCGGACGGGUGAGUAACACGUGGGUAACCUGCCCAUAAGACUGGGAUAACUCCGGGAAACCGGGGCUAAUACCGGAUAACAUUUUGAACCGCAUGGUUCGAAAUUGAAAGGCGGCUUCGGCUGUCACUUAUGGAUGGACCCGCGUCGCAUUAGCUAGUUGGUGAGGUAACGGCUCACCAAGGCAACGAUGCGUAGCCGACCUGAGAGGGUGAGCGGCCACACUGGGACGGAGACACGGCCCAGACUCCUACGGGAGGCAGCAGUAGGGAAUCUUCCGCAAUGGACGAAAGUCUGACGGAGCAACGCCGCGUGAGUGAUGAAGGCUUUCAGGUCGUAAAACUCUGUUGUUAGGGAAGAACAAGUGCUAGUUGAAUAAGCUGGCACCUUGACGGUACCUAACCAGAAAGCCACGGCUAACUACGUGCCAGCCGCCGCCGUAA